UAGACAGACGGACAGAUGAACUUCACUCCGACAGCGAAACAGUGCUACGGACCAUAAGUUUUCACAACAAGAAGGAUGAACUCCCGAGUCAAGUUUGGCGAUGUACCUCUUGUGUCGUGUGAUUGAGGUGACACCAUCUUGUUUCCAAAGCGCACAAGAGAUGAUGAAGCAGAUCAAUUGCACGAUGAGGUGGAUUCACUCACCCUGCCCCAAUGCCGGUCUACCAGGGAGAACUUCUCAACAGUGCUUCCCAAGCUUCUUGGUUUAGUGAAGCAGCCCUCACCUCUACACAGAACCUAUUUUAACGCAAGGAGUGAUGCCCUGCCAGAAGAGCAU